GGAAAGUUUGUACGUGUUUUUUUAUUUUUUUAUUUAAUUCGGUUUUUUAUUAUUUCAGGCUCCAACUGCGUAAUUAUUUUAUAAACGAUUUUUACAUAAAUCGCAGUUGGAUGUCUCAUGGGAUCUGGUGCAGUGGAAGGUCCGACAUUUGAAGGCGCAGUACCGUAAAGCCAAUGACGGCUCGCGUCAACGGGUGCAGGACUACAAGAUGAAGCUGACGGCAGAACCAUCGAAGCAAAAGUUGCUAAAAUGUGUCCAUACUACGAUCAGCUGAGGGAAAUAUUUGGAAAGCGGUUGCCGGCCAUGCAACCGUUACUGGUUGAAA